GGGGAAUAUUGCACAAUGGGCGAAAGCCUGAUGCAGCAACGCCGCGUGAGUGAUGAAGGCCUUCGGGUUGUAAAGCUCUGUCUUCUGGGACGAUAAUGACGGUACCAGAGGAGGAAGCCACGGCUAACUACGUGCCAGCAGCCGCGGUAAUCCGUAGGUGGCAAGCGUUGUCCGGAUUUACUGGGCGUGAAGGAUGCGUAGGCGGAUACUUAAGUCAGAUGUGAAAAUCCCGGGCUUAACUUGGGAACUGCAUUUGAAACUGGGUAUCUAGAGUGCGGGAGAGGAAAGUGGAAUUCCUAGUGUAGCGGUGAAAUGCGUAGAGAUUAGGAAGAACACCAGUGGCGAAGGCGACUUUCUGGACCGGAACUGACGCUGAGGCAUGAAAGCGUGGGGA
rnacentral:rRNA from 1 species